rnacentral:rRNA from 1 species
UUAAAGUUGUUGAGGUUAAAAAGCUCGUAGUUGAACCUUGGGCCUAGCCGGCCGGUCCGCCUCACCGCGUGCACUGGCUCGGYUGGGUCUUUCCUUCUGGAGAACCGCAUGCCCUUCACUGGGUGUGUCGGGGAACCAGGACUUUUACUCUGAACAAAUUAGAUCGCUUAAAGAAGGCCUAUGCUCGAAUACUCUAGCAUGGAAUAAUA